GUUGACCUUUUUCUCUCCCAAAAAACGCUGGCUAUACCCUUCAUUGGCUGGAGUAUAUCCCGACCUGAUUGGCAGUCAACGAACCCUCAUCAGGAUGCUACUUCCUUAUAAAAAACAGCUUUUUUCUCUGGGGUUUUGCCUUCGUAUGGAUGAUUUGUGUUUCUGAUUUCGUUGAGAACAUUAUUCUUCAAUUAAUUAAAUCAGAGCAGAGACCAUAAAACACUCGUAUGCAAAAAGCCACGAUAAUGAGAUGACGACGAGGGGUCAGGGGACGACAAUAAACCCGUAAACAAGGCACAGCAGAAAAGAGCAGAGAGGAAAGAACUCUGGGCUGCCAUUAAGGAAGUGCUGGAAGUACUGAAGGAGGUCCACAACGAACCCCUCAAAUACCCUUUAACGAACACCAAAAAACCACCCUUAACAGACUCAACGUUCAAUCUCGGUAAGGCACAAGGCAUGCAUUUUGUUUGCGAGGAAUAAAAGCAGUUGGAAACGAGA